rnacentral:rRNA from 1 species
UAGGGAAUCUUCGGCAAUGGGGGCAACCCUGACCGAGCAACGCCGCGUGAGUGAAGAAGGUUUUCGGAUCGUAAAGCUCUGUUGUAAGAGAAGAACGUGUGUGAGAGUGGAAAGUUCACACAGUGACGGUAACUUACCAGAAAGGGACGGCUAACUACGUGCCAGCAGCCGCAGUAAUACGUAGGUCCCGAGCGUUGUCCGGAUUUAUUGGGCGUAAAGCGAGCGCAGGCGGUUUAAUAAGUCUGAAGUUAAAGGCAGUGGCUUAACCAUUGUUCGCUUUGGAAACUGUUAAACUUGAGUGCAGAAGGGGAGAGUGGAAUUCCAUGUGUAGCGGUGAAAUGCGUAGAUAUAUGGAGGAACACCGGUGGCGAAAGCGGCUCUCUGGUCUGUAACUGACGCUGAGGCUCGAAAGCGUGGGGAGCAAACAGG